ensembl:lncRNA
UCAGUUUUUAAAAUUUAAUUAUUUUUAUUUUACGUAUGGGCAUUUGGCUGUCUAUAUAUCUAUUCACCAUGCGCAUGCCUGUGCCCAGGGGGGUUAGGAGAAGGCACUGGAUUCUCUGGAACUAGAGUUACAGCUGGUUGUGAGCUGCCGUGUGGGGUGAUGGGAAAUGCACCCAGGUCCUCUGGAAGAGCAGUCAGGGCUCUUAACCACUGAGCCAUCUCUCUCCACCCCAGAAUCUCUUAAGCAAGCCUGGCCUUUUGAGUCUUUCAUCUCAAUGUGGAGGGCUAAGGGCUCUUGUGAGAUUUCAUUUUUUCUUUGUUUACACAUACAUGUCCACCUCAAGUUUAAUUUGCACUAAAUUUCAGCUAAAUCGCUGGCCCCUAAUUCCCAUCCUCCAGCUUCCACACCCAGAUGUCCCCAUGAACACAGGAAAUGGCCACCCUUUAGCUCUGCCUUCAAAAUAGGUGCAAAACAAAGUGCUUGCCUAGAGGCCUGGGGUUGAAACCUGACACCACAAACACACAAAUGGCUGUGGUAGUUGCCCACAUUUGAUCAUCUUCUCCCUUGGAUUAUAGAGUCAGGCCUCACAGGAGUGUCCUGGCUUUCACUGUACCUCACUGAAGUCUGUGAGUUGCAGCCAGAGGAGUUACCACUUGAAGAUAAUUGGGCUGGAAAAUAAUUGGGCUCAGACAGCUAGAAAGGCGGUUCCUCAGAGAGCACCCUUAAGUAAAGGGAAGGGCUUGAGUGUAGAGAAGUAACUCAUCUUUAACAUUAUAUUUAUGGGAUGCAGGGGGCCACAGGUGUCAUGGUGUUCAUGCUGAUGGGAUGCAGGGGGCCACAGGUGUCAUGGUGUUCGUGUGGACCACUUGCUGAUGCUUCUUGGCUCUGCCACGUGGGUCCUGGGCAUGGAGCAGGGGGCCAGGCUGGGUCUGGCUGCCUGUGUCUUCGCCCACUGGCCCUCAACAGUCCUGUGAGCUUGUGAAAACAGGAUUUUCUCCUUGUCCUGGGAGGGCUGGACAAAGGAACUUCCUGCUGUUUUCCUCAAAGGGUCUUGUCCACAGAGACAUUUGUAGCCCAGGGCGGAGUUCGCUGCUGAUUAACC